rnacentral:rRNA from 1 species
GAUGAACGCUGGCGGCGUGCCUAAUACAUGCAAGUCGAGCGAACGGACGAGAGGCUUGCUUUUCUGAUGUUAGCGGCGGACGGGUGAGUAACACGUGGAUAACCUACCUAUAAGACUGGGAUAACUUCGGGAAACCGGAGCUAAUACCGGAUAAUAUUUUGAACCGCAUGGUUCAAAAGUGAAAGACGGUCUUGCUGUCACUUAUAGAUGGAUCCGCGCUGCAUUAGCUAGUUGGUAAGGUAACGGCUUACCAAGGCAACGAUGCAUAGCCGACCUGAGAGGGUGAUCGGCCACACUGGAACUGAGACACGGUCCAGACUCCUACGGGAGGCAGCAGUAGGGAAUCUUCCGCAAAGGGCGAAAGCCUGACGGAGCAACGCCGCGUGAGUGAUGAAGGUCUUCGGAUCGUAAAACUCUGUUAUUAGGGAAGAACAUAUGUGUAAGUAACUGUGCACAUCUUGACGGUACCUAAUCAGAAAGCCACGGCUAACUACGUG